rnacentral:rRNA from 1 species
CCCGCUGAACUUAAGCAUAUCAAUAAGCGGAGGAAAAGAAACCAACAGGGAUUGCCCUAGUAACGGCGAGUGAAGCGGCAAAAGCUCAAAUUUGAAAUCUGGCUUCGGCCCGAGUUGUAAUUUGUAGAGGAUGUUUCGGGCACCGCCCCGGCGUAAGUCCCUUGGAACAG